ensembl:lncRNA nucleolar protein dao-5-like
AUGGACUGCAGCACAGCUGACGUGCCCAGUAGUGUGACACACGACUCUCCAGGAAAACACGGCUCCUGCUCUGAUGACGACAUACCUCUCUCAAAGUUCCAGGCAAAGCCACACAGUGAGGAGAAGCAGUCACAUGAAAGCACACACGACUCUGACACUAAUUCAAAAAAGGACAAAAGUGCUUCGGAUGACUCUUCAAAUGACGAGCCUUUGAAAAAAAAGAAAGUAGUCUCUUCACCAGCAAAGAAAGCAGAGAAAACAGACAACACGCCACUCAAAUCUAAUGGCACAAAUGACAAGGAAGCAGAGGUGAAAACCGAUGAAGACUCUGAUAAUGAGCCUCUCGUAAGAAAGGCCAAAAUGUCUUCCAAAGCUGCAAAGAAGCCUCUCUCAGUCCCUCCAAAAAAAUCAGUUCAUUCAAAGAAGGAAGAACCACUGGAUGACGAUGAUGUUUCGGAUGAUAAGCCUUUGAGUGAACUUGGCAAGAAACUUUACCCCCAACGUCAGAGAAAGUCACCUCGUACUCCAUCUAGAAGCACUAUCAGAACCCCAAGGAACGUAGCAAGGAAAAAAAUUAAGUAUGCAGAGUCUUCCAGUGACAGCUCAGAUGAUGAAUCACUGGCAACAAAGAAGAAGUUCACAAAGGCCCGUAAAGACAGCAGCUCAGAUAAUUAUGAUGAUGUUGAUGAGGAUGAGGAUGAUGAUGAUGUGCCCUUGGUAAAGCCUGUUGCCAAGCAGAAGAAACCAGUGAAGAAAACCACUGAAACGACAACUGCUUCACCAGGCAGAGCGUCAAGAAAGAGACGAGAAAAUUCAGAGUCGUCCAGCAACAGUUCAGAUGAUGAACCCUUAGUUAAUGUUGGGGAAAAAAAAAGCACAAAACAAACAAAAAACAAACCGAAGGCUUCACCUGCAAAGAAGAAGAAGAAGGACGACACAGAGUCGUCACGCAACAGCUCAGGGCUCUCUGAUGAAAACUCAGAUUAUGAAUCCUCGGUUAAUCUUGGGAAAAAGAAAAGCCCUGGAAAACAAACAAAAAACAAACCGAAGGCUUCACCUGCAAAGAAGAAAAACACAACUCCCAAAAGGCCAAAAAAUAUGCAAGAUUCAGCGUUGUCAGACAACAACUCAGGACACUCUGAUGACGGCUCAGAUUAUAAACCCUCAAGUAAAUAUGGGAGAAAGAAAAGCACACAAAAACAGACAAAAAACAAACCGAAGCCUUCUCCGCCGAAGAAGAAGAAGAAGAAGAAGAAACCAACUCUCAAAAAGCCCAAAAAGAAGCCUGAUUCAGCGUCGUCGAGCAACAGUUCAGACGAUGAACCUUUAGUCAAAGCAGCUGACCACCCACAAGUGACCAAAAUCAUGAGAAUAAUACUUGAGAGGUGUGAUGGUGAAGAAGCUGGAGACACAGGAGCCCUGCUUAAAACCAGUACAGAAACACAGAUUGCUGAAAAGACUUCGAGGAAGGACUCAGAGGGCUCCGAGGAAUCCCCAGAAAAAGAAUAAGCAGAUGAAACGGUGGUUAAAGAAAUGGCAUUUUUAUUUUGUUAUUGUUACCUUUCACCUUCUGGACGGGGAAGUUCAAACCACCUAGUGGCUACAAUGUUUUAAGGACUUCCUAAAGUGUACAUCCCUCGGAGAGACUCCUCCAAAUAUAGAUCAGUUAGUUUUCAUGUUAAGUUGAGCUGUGUGUUUUAUAGAGUACAUACAUGUUAAUUUAAGGUGUUUGUAUUUUUACUCCAAUUUUUAAGUUUGGGAACAGAUUUUGUAGGUUCUUAAAGAUAUUAUGCAGUCUUUAAUGUUAUUUGACUAUUUGUGCCUGUUGUUUACACUGGCUUUCACCUCUGGUUUUAACUUUUAAAAGAAAAUAAUUUAACGCUCAUUAAAGUAAGUUAUACUUCAGUUUUCAUAUUAACUGUACACUCAGCAUGCAGCAGUGAACAUCUUUUGUGUUGGAUUAAACUGCUUCUUUCAUUAUGAAAAUUCUUAUGAGAUGAGUAAGACUCUUUGUCACACACCCACAAUUCUUCUUGUCUAUACUUGUCUGUCAUUUUAAUUUCAGUGAGAUUGUAAAGUCAAUUUUAUUUAUGCUUUCCAAAAUCACAAAUGUCUUUCUUUUAUCUGACUCUUUUAGAAGUACUUCUUAACUUUUUUUAAUUUGGAGUAUCUGCAGGGUUGUCUGCACACCCCAUCCAGCUCUUAACUUGAAACAACCUGGCAUCAGUUGUACACCUUAUCCAAUUGGGCUUUCAUUGUAGCUUACAAUCUACAAACAAAAAGACGAGGGUUGAAACCUAAUUAUUGUCGUUAGUAAUCAGUUAUUACAAAAAGAAAGAAAAAAAAGCGAUGGCCAUCACAACUUAUUGGGGCUACUAAGGUGACGUCUACAAAUUGCUUGUUUUUCCCCAGACCCAAGAAUAUUCAAUUUCCAAUUAUUUUAGUGAUUUACAACUUGAUUCUUUUUUUUCUUAGUUAAAGCUAAAUUAAUUAAUUUCUCAAUUAAUUGUUUGGUCUAUAAAAUGUCAAAGAAUUUCAAAAUGAUAGUCGAAUUUACCAAAGCUUAAGGUGACUUUAUUUAAAUGUUCUAUUGAUCGACUACUAUCGAUUGUUAGGAUAAGUUCCUUCCAGAAAAUGUCACCCUCGAAAUGAAUGCAAACAUUCAAAUAAAACACAAAAGAGGGAAUUGAACAUUUGAUAGUUUUGUUUACUUUAUUUAUUUAUUCUAGUGGGAAUAUUGAUUUUGCAUUCGUUUAAACUUCUUUGUCUACGUUAAAGUAAGCCGAAUCGGUAUGCCCCCAAAGUUGAUUUUACAUUUCUUCCUAAGGGGAAAAUGAUCGCAGCCACACAUAAUUAAGAAAAUAAAGAAUUAAGAAAACGGCGUGUUAAAAGCAUUUUCCAUUACUACACUGCUCGUCGAGUGUUUUAAAAAGAGGAAGAUAAGAAAGUAAUACACUUAAUCAAGACCACAUAUUGCAAGACAAGGGUGUCACUUUGGUUUGAGAAAUGGGGGAGGGGGGGGGGACACAAAACGGGGUCUGGGGUCUCGAUUUGAAGUCGGCCUUAAUGAUAAAUUCUGCCAGAAAUAAUGUAUACGAAAAAGCUGUCUUACUUUCUGAAUUGUUUAAUACAGGAAGUGAAAGCCAAGACUGGAGAGAAUCAUUUUAUAAAGUCAAUGUUCACAAUUAAUGUUUUGUGUGUGAUUCAAAUAAAAAUGUGAGAUUUAGUUUCCACUUUGUUUUUCUUC